CAGAGCCCCACGAUCAGUGCCUCUAACUUCUGCAGGGACUCCCUAGGGGCUGCCAGUGCAAUAUGGGGUCUGUCUGCCUGCCCCUAGGCCCCUGCAGGAUCAAGGAGGCUAAAUGCCCUCUGGCACAUUCAGCAGGACCAAGGAGAUGUGUCAUGAUACCAACAUCCUUUGGGCAACUGGUCCUCACUGUGUGCAAAGAGCUUGCAUGGAUGCUGGGGAUCUGCUCUGAGCCACCAAGAAGCACAGCAGCUCUGUGAUGCUGACAGAUCCUGGAAGACCUGAAUCCCUGCUAUUGAGGACACCUGGAGGUAUUCAUCUUUCCUCACACCAGCGACAUGAAUAAGGGACCUGCUGUCUGGCUUCCCAUGCCACCUCUGGAGUCAUAGCAGUGGAGCACCUGACAUACUGGGGUCCGGCCUCCUGAAACCACCUGUGCACAAGAGUGAGGCUGCAGAUUCCCUCUGCAGUCCCGCGUGAUUGUGUCGUCUUCCAGUGUUGCUAAGCACAGACACACACCACUGGGCUCAGUGCUGAGGCCAGAAUGAUGAAUAAGACAGUCUGGGGGGAGAAGACAGACCCCAAACAGAUGAUUCUAAGGCAGUACCAGUGGGAGCCAGAGUGUACCAUUUAACUGCUGGGUUCCACUCCUGGCUCUGCCACUUGCUAAUUAGAUCACCUUGGGCCACUUCAAGUUUUGGAGCCAAUAAGCCAGGUGUGUGGAUGUAUGCCUGUAAUCCCAGCACUCUAAGAAGCUGAGGCAGGAGGCGAAGCUUGGCUAAGCUGAGGCUAAGUUUGAGCUAGCCUGGGCAAUUUAGCCACCUGGUGAGACCCUGUCUCAAAAUUUAAAGAGGGGAGGAGCAGAUAUAGCUCAGUGCAAAGACCCUGGGUUAAAUCCCCAGUUAAAAAAAAAAAAGAAAGAAAGAAAGAAAGAAAAAAAGAAGGAAAUUCCACCCAAAAAAGCAACCAUAGUAGCUACCUUGUAGGUUUGCUGUUGUGCUGUGAUCUGUGAAAAGCAUCUAUCACAGUACAGGGCAUGUAGUCAUCAAUCGGAAUGGCCAGCUGCAUUAUUACUGGAUGGCAGAGCGAGGGAUGGUCAAAGAAGUGUCCAUCAAGGAGGUGGCAUUUUCUUCACGCUCUGAGCAAUGAUCUUUGCGGGACUCUGGAUUGAUCUCACACUGAUCUCGGACUGCUCUCUUUGCCCCCGCCUCCUGAUCUCAGCGGGCGGGGGAAUGUCACUGGGCCAUAUGGCCACAAGGGGGCAGGUGUGCUACUUAAUGAGCCGAAUUAGCCCUAACUGAACCAGCUUGGGGGGUGGGGGAAGGAGACCGAGGUGGGAAGACAAACCUGAAACUCUUGG
rnacentral:lncRNA from 1 species